UAAGGAAUAUUGGACAAUGGGCGCAAGCCUGAUCCAGCCACGCCGCGUGAGUGAUGAAGGCCUUCGGGUUGUAAAGCUCUGUGGGGAGGGAACUGAAUGCGCACACCUAAUACGGUGUGCAUUCGAGGGUAUCUCCUUAGCAAGCACCGGCUAACUCUGUGCCAGCAGCCGCGGUAAGACAGAGGGUGCAAACGUUGCUCGGAAUCACUGGGCGUAAAGCGCGUGUAGGCGGGCCAGCAAGUCAGGUGUGAAAUCCCAGGGCUCAACCCUGGAACUGCAUUUGAAACUGUAGGUCUUGAGUAUCGGAGAGGGUAGCGGAAUUCCUGGUGUAGAGGUGAAAUUCAUAGAUAUCAGGAGGAACAUCGGUGGCGAAGGCGGCUACCUGGACGAAUACUGACGCUGAGACGCGAAAGUGUGGGGAGCGAACAGGAUUAGAUACCCCCGUAGUCC
rnacentral:rRNA from 1 species